GGAUCAGAGAUGGUCCUUUCAGUUCGGCGGGAUACCACACAGGUGCUGCAUGGCUGUCGUCAGCUCGUGUCGUGAGAUGUUCGGUUAAGUACGGCAACGAGCGCAACCCACAUUUUCCGUUGCCAUCAUUCAGUUGGGCACUCUGGAGACACUGCCGGUGAUAAGCCGGAGGAAGGUGUGGAUGACGUCAAGUCCUCAUGGCCCUUACGGGUUGGGCUACACACGUGCUACAAUGGUGGAGACAAUGGGUUAAUCCCAAAAAGCCAUCUCAGUUCGGAUUGGGGUCUGCAACUCGACCCCAUGAAGGCGGAAUCGCUAGUAAUCGCGUA
rnacentral:rRNA from 1 species